CAUUACAGUCAUUUGAUAGGUAAAUGAGUCUCCAAACACAAGACAGUGAGGUAAAGAAUAUGUGACAAUAUUAAUACUGUAUAGAAUAGAUAAGGCAUAGUCCUUGCAAUUGAAUAAUAGUGUUUGGUGAGUAAAAAGAAGGGUAAGUUAGGUUUGUUACCCAGGUGGAUGAUGGUACAAUGCACCAAGACAGGCAAUUUGAAAGUUAUCAAGAUUGAUUUUGUACUUUAAAUUUGGCACACAAUUUUAGGAAAUGUGAGUUUGAAAACUAGAAUUAUGAGUAAAAUAUAGUAGGUAGUGAAAAUCAUGGUGCAUGAAAUUGGCCAGGAGAGUGAACAGAUUAAAGUGAGAAACAGAGAUCAUGGAUAAAACUAUGUAAAAAAUAUAGAAGUUGAUGGAGGUGUGUUGGGUGGGAAUGGGAGGAGUUGAGCUAAGAUCAAAAGGAGCAGUCCUAUAUAAGUAGGAGAAAUGCCAUAAGAUUGAUGACAUGUAUCCAAAAAAGAACUGAAUCACAGUUCAUGUGUUGAUCCUAAAGUCAAGUAAUAAGGAAAGAAUAAAUUGGUAACUAAGCAGAUCACUGGAGAUGUUGGCAAGUACAAUAUCAGUAGAGUGAACAGAAGCCAGAUUAUUAUAUGAAGGAGGAACUAAUAGCAUGUUAAAGACUUUCAGGAAGUUUAAAUGAAGGGAAAAGAAUGAUUUAGGGAAUAUGUCUAUUUUAAUGACUUAGGCAAUAGGAUUUACACACAUUGGGAGUGGAUUAAAGAAGAUAUUACUAGGUAGGCUGGGUGUGGUGGCACAUGCCUAUAAUCCCAGCAGCUCUGGAGGCUGAUGCAGGAAGAUUGCGAGUUCAAAGCCAGCCUCAGCAAAAGCAAGGCACUUAGCAACUCAGUGAGACCCUCUCUGUAAAUAAAGUACAAAAUAGGGCUGGGGAUGUGUCUCAGUGGCUGAGUCCUCCUGAGUUAAAUCCCCGGUAUUAAAAAAAAAAAAAAAAGAUUACUGGGUAGAACACAUUUUUGAAAUGUUAUGAGGGAAUUCUGCAAAAAUGUAAAGAAAUUAAUCUUAACUUUAUGAAAGGGGGAAGUCUACAGAGAGAUGGGAAUGUAAAUCAGUUUGAUUGGAGGUAAAGGAAUUUCUGGUUGCUGAUGUAUUUUCACUAAGAUAGGGAAAAGGUCUCGAUUUUUAAGGUGCAGUUAACAAGCCAGAUGCAAUGGUGCAUACCUGUAUUCCCAGCAAUUCAGGAGCCUGAGGCAGGAGGAACAUAAGUUCAAAGCCAGCAUCUUAGCAAGGUCCCAAUCAAUUCAGCAAGACCCUGUCUCUAAAUAAAUAUGAAAAAGGACUGGGUGUGUGGCUCAGUGGUUAAGCACCACUGGGUUCAAUCCCUAGUACCAAAAAAAAAAAAAGAUUCAGUUAACAGCCCUUUCUAUUCAGGUGACAAAAACUUAAUCAUAGUGGCUUCAAAUCUGUGCUUCUGGGAUUGUUUUUUGUUUGUUUUGUUUUUGUUUUUGUUUUUUUCUUUUUAAGGAAAGCAGGAGUUAAUUCCUUAUUGUUUCAUUAAGAAUUCUUCACUUUUAUCAGUUUUGCAUAUUUGAAAUCUGUUACUUUAGCUUUUUUAAGGAAAGGAUUUGCUGAUCAAUUAAACUUUGAGAACUACUCAAGGACAGAGAGAAAGAACAUUUUUAAUAGAGUGAAAAGUCUAAAAUGAGACUGGAAAGAAAUGUAGGAUUGGAACAGGUAUAUGAAGGUAGAAGGAAAUAAGUAAGGAAAAAAGCAUACACUGUGGCAAGAAGGCAUGAGAGGACAUAACGUGCUGUCUGUACUACUAUAAGUAGUAUUUUUCAACUUCAUUCUCUGUUUUUUUACUAGUGUGUAGAAAUACAACUGACUUGUAUAUUGGCCUCGUAUCUUGCAAUUUUGCUCCGUUUACUUAUUUUUAGUAGUUUUGUUAUCCAACCAUGUUAUCUGUACAUGAUUACCACGUUAUAUUUUUCUUUUCCAAUUAUAACACCUUUUAUUUUUUUUUUUACACUGCAGUGCUACAUAGCAUGGUUCAAUAGAACAUUGAAUAGAAAUAAUAUUCAGUAUUUCUCCAUUUAAUAUAUUAGCAAACAAAUUGAAAUUUAUGUAUAUCUGUUAUGAAAAAGGACAUUCUCUUGUUAUGAAAAAGGACAUUACUCCUGUGUGCUGAGUUUUUAUCAUAAAAGGGAAUAGUAUUUUUGUCAUAUGCAUCUUUUGCAUUGAUUGAAAUGAUCAUAUUGUUUUUCUCUUCAUUAUUUUAAUAGAGAAUUACAUUGUCCUAAUUUUGAUGUUCUAUUCCUGAGAUAAAUCCUUUUGGGUUAUGAGGUAUCAUCAUGUAAUGUAUGUGUGUGUGUGUGUGUAUUGAUCAGGUUUCUUCCCUAGUAGUAACCUGAUUGAAGUUACCAGGAAUGUCUUCCAAAAACUUAAGAGCAGAAAUAAAUUUUUACCAUCCAAUUAUGAAGGAUGGGUGAAAUAGCAAUACCCACAGAGGAAGGGGAAAGCAAGGCCAAGAGUACUGCAGUGGUGAGAGGCUCAGGAAGAGUGAAUCCAGCAUCUGUAGGGACCCACAUGGCUGGAAUAGAGUGCUCCUGAUAAGAGAAAAAUGCUAUUUGAUAUGAAAGCCAAAAUUAGGCUGUCAGAGAUAUUUUGAAUGGUUUUUCUUUAGUCUAAAAAUGAAAGAGUUUGACAUAAUCCUAGGGGAAAUAUUAAUUGACUCUAUUUCUGGGGAGCAAAUGUUUUAAGGAGAAUUUCUGAUGGGUCAGUCAUUUCAAAGAUAAUUUGUUCAAUCUGGCUUGAGAAAUUUAUGGAAGAAUUGCUUCUUGGAGGAGUUUGGGAGUCUUUAAAAAAUGUUCUCAGAAGAAAAGAUACAGUUCUGUUCCUAGUGACAAUUGUCUGGCAUUUUGCCAAACCCCAAGCUGGUAAAAUUCUUAAUUAAAGCUCAUAUGAUAAUUAUUUUUUCAAAAUCAAUAUGUAAUCAUCUUUCAAAACCUAGGAUAAAAUUUGGUAUCUGAAGCUGUACCAAGAUGAAGCUGACUAUCUUUCCAAGCCACUGGCUACCAGAAACUCACUGAAGUGGAGGGUGGACACAAAUUUCAUACUUUGAGAAGCUUAUGGCCAAGAAGUUGCUGCUAACACUCUGGGUGAAGCAUAGAAGGGUUAUGUGAUUCAAAUCAGUGAUGGGACUGACAAGCAAGGUUUCCCCAUGAAGCAGGGUAUCUCUUGACUCAUGGCUGUGUUCACCUGCUGCUGAGUAAGGGGCAUUCCUGUUAUAGACCAAAGUAAACUGGAGAGAGAAAGCACAAAUCUGUUCAAGGUUUUAUUGUGGAUGCCAAUCUGAGCAUUCUCAACUUGGUUAUUGUAAAAAAUAAUAAUAGUAAUAAGAGAGAGAAAAGGAUAUUCCUGGACUUACUAAUACUACUGUGCCUCAUCAACUGAAUCCCAAAAGAGCUAAUAAAUUCUGCAAACUUUUCAGUCUAAGGAAGAUGAUGUCCACCGAUAUGUUGUCAGAAAAACCCUUAAACAAGGGAGAUAAAAAACCCAGGACCAAAGCACAGAAGAUUCAUCAUCUCAUUACUCUACAACACCAACAUUGAAGAAACAGUGUACUAAGAAGAAUAAGAAAAAGACUGCAGAAUAUGCCAAACAUUUGGCCAAGAGAGUGAAAGAAGCCAAAGAAAAAUGCCAGGAACAGAUUUCCAAGAGAUGCAGGCUGUCCUCUCUGAGAGCUUCCACUUCUGAAUCUGAGUCCAGUCAAAAGUAAGAAUUUUUACAAGUAACAAAUAAAUAAAAUCAGACCUUCAAAACAAUUCAGUAUCUGUUAUGGUUGAGAUCUGGAUUCCCUCAAAGGUUCAUGUUCAGAGGUAGGGCUUUUGGGAGUGAUUUGAUCAUGACAGCUCUGAUCUCACCAAUGAAUUAAUCUACUUAUAGAUUCAUUGCUGAAUGGACUAAUAAUGAAAAGGAGGUGAUGAAAGUUGUAUGGGGUGGAACUAGUUAAAGAGAGUAAUUCCUUGUGGGCAUUCCCUGGGGGACUGUAUAGUGUUUUUGGCCUCUUCCUCCCACUCCUCUGCUACUUGCUUAUGUGAGGUAAACAGAUUCACUCCACAACUUGCUCCCUGCCAUGACAUGGUGCCUCACCUUAAGCCCACAGUGAUGGAACUAAGCAACUAUGACCUGAAACCUCUAGCUGUGAACCAAACUGAAUCUUUCCUUUCAGCUGAUUUUCUCAGGUAUUUUAUCAGUGAUGAAAAGCUCACUAGAGUAUCAUGUAUGUCAGUCUGUCUCAAGUUGUUAAAAUCGACUUUUACAUAACAACAUUUCCCAUAGAAAAUGAAAGGGUUUUUUUUAUUUUGAAAUAACUUUCUGAGCUGGGUGCAGUGGAGCACACCUGUAAUCCCAGAAGCUCAGGAGGCUGAGGCAGGAGGAUCGAAAGUUCAAAGCCACCCUCUGCAAAAGUGAGGCACUAAGCAACUCAGUGAGACCCUGUCUCUAAAUAUAAUACAAAAUAGAGCUAGGAAUGUAGCUCAGUGGCUGAGUGCCCUUGAGUUCAAUCCCUAGUACAAAAAAAAAAAAUCUUGAGAAAUAAUUUUCUGUGAGAGAGCAAUGAACAGAAUCAAGAGAACUGUGUAUUUUCUAGCCUGAAUUCUGUUUCAAGUUACAUAAUUUCUGUCUUCUUCAACUUCAAAAAUUCCAUAGUGGUGUUUGGUAUCCUGCUUUAUGGAUUUAAUGAUAUGGGUAAACUCAAAAUUUUAAAUGUUUAUAUGCAUUUUUGUAUAAGACCACCAAGGUGAGUAGUAGAAAACAAAGAACUAUAAAGAAAUAGUACUACUUCUAUGUUAUUGUUGCUAACAUUAUUGUGUAUUGUUGGAUUCAAAUAACUAAAUUUUAUGCUCUAUGAAAUAAAUUUCCACC
rnacentral:lncRNA from 1 species